GACGAACGCUGGCGGCGUGCUUAACACAUGCCAGUCGAACGGAAAGGCCCCUUUGGGGGUACUCGCGUGGCGAACGGGUGGGUAACACGUGAGUAACUUGCCCUUGACUUCGGGAUAACUUCCGGCAACUGGGUCUAAUACCGGAUAGGAAUCCUUGCUGCCUGGUGGGGGUGGGUAAGCUUUCGGCGUUUGGGAAGGACUGGCGGCCUAUCUGGUUGGUUGUGGGGUAGUGGCUUGCCAAGGCUUUGACGGGCAGCCGGCCCGGGGGGGCGAACGGCCACAUUUGGACCGGGAAACGGCCCAGGCUCCUACGGGAGGGAAGAGUGGGGAAUAUUGCACAAUGGGCGGGAGGCUGAUGCAGCAACGCCGCGGGCGGGAUGAAGGGCUUCGGGUUGGAAACCGCUUUCAGCAGGGGAGAAGCUUGUGGUGACGGUACCUGCUAAAGAAGCACCGGCUAACUACGUG
rnacentral:rRNA from 1 species